rnacentral:tRNA from 1 species
GGAGCUGUAGCUCAGUUGGUUAGAGCGAUUGCCUGUCACGCAAUAGGUCGCGGGUUCGAGUCCCGUCAGCUCCG